rnacentral:rRNA from 1 species
AGUAGCCACGGUAAUACGAAGGGUGCAAGCGUUAAUCGGAAUUACUGGGCGUAAAGCGUGCGUAGGCGGUGAGUUAAGUCUGCUGUGAAAUCCCCGGGCUCAACCUGGGAAUGGCAGUGGAUACUGGCUCGCUAGAGUGUGUCAGAGGAUGGUGGAAUUCCCGGUGUAGCGGUGAAAUGCGUAGAGAUCGGGAGGAACAUCAGUGGCGAAGGCGGCCAUCUGGGACAACACUGACGCUGAGGCACGAAAGCGUGGGGAGCAAACAGGAUUAGAUACCCCCGUAGUCCCUGUCUCUUAUACA